rnacentral:rRNA from 1 species
AGGGGCAGCGGGGGAUGCGUUCGCGCAUUCUGCCGGCGACCGGCGCACGGGUGAGUAACACGUAUGCAACCUGCCCCGUCCAGGGGGAUAAUCGGCGGAAACGCCGUCUAAUACCGCGUAUAUCGGUACCGGGCAUCCGGGAUUGAAGAAAGGGCCUUAGGGUCCGGGACGGGAUGGGCAUGCGGCGCAUUAGGAAGUUGGCGGUGUAACGGACCACCAAUCCGUCGAUGCGUAGGGGUUCUGAGAGGAAGGCCCCCCACACUGGUACUGAGACACGGACCAGACUCCUACGGGAGGCAGCAGUGAGGAAUAUUGGUCAAUGGGCGGGAGCCUGAACCAGCCAAGUCGCGUGAGGGAAGAAGGUACUGAGUAUUGUAAACCUCUCCCCCCCCCCCACAAAGGCGGCCACGGGUGGCCGAAAAAAAAACCCCGGAGAAAAAGCAUCGGCGGGCUCCAAACCAGCAGCCGCGGUAAUACGGAGGAUGCGAGCGUUAUCCGGAUCUAUUGGGUUUAAAGGGUGCGCAGGCGGCGUGUCAAGUCAGCGGUAAAAUGUCGGGGCUCAACCCGGGCGGGCCGUUGAAAACUGGCGUGGCUCGAGUGGGAGGGAAGUAUGCGGAAAUUCGUGGUGUAGCGGUGAAAUGCAUAGAUAUCACGAAGAACCCCGAUUGCGAAGGCAGCAUACCGGCUCCACACUGACGCUGAGGCACGAAAGCGUGGGUAUCGAACAGGAUUAGAUACCCUGGUAGUCCACGCAGUAAACGAUGAAUGCUAGGUGUCCGGGGCUUUGUGUCCUGGGUGCCACAGCGAAAGCGUUAAGCAUUCCACCUGGGGAGUACGCCGGCAACGGUGAAACUCAAAGGAAUUGACGGGGGCCCGCACAAGCGGAGGAACAUGUGGUUUAAUUCGAUGAUACGCGAGGAACCUUACCCGGGCUCAAACGCAGGGAGACGGCGGUCGAAAGGCUGCUUUCCACGGACUGCCUGCGAGGUGCUGCAUGGUUGUCGUCAGCUCGUGCCGUGAGGUGUCGGCUUAAGUGCCAUAACGAGCGCAACCCCUGCCGCCAGUUGCUAACGCUAAAGGCGAGGACUCUGGCGGGACUGCCGGCGCAAGCCGCGAGGAAGGCGGGGAUGACGUCAAAUCAGCACGGCCCUUACGUCCGGGGCGACACACGUGUUACAAUGGGCGGCACAGCGGGAAGCCAGGCGGCGACGCCGAGCGGAACCCGAAAGCCGUUCUCAGUUCGGGUCGGAGUCUGCAACCCGACUCCGUGAAGCUGGAUUCGCUAGUAAUCG